rnacentral:miRNA from 1 species
UGCUGGAUCCAGUGACACUUCA